GCUUAUUGGCUCGCGUUACCUGAGAAGAGAAAGGCAGCAACUCACUUUCUCGGUGUGUGUAUGAAAAAAAAAAUACUCCGUAAUAGAGAACUGCGCCAACCUAAUUUCCGCGUCAGGAGGAGAAUAAAACGACUCGAAGCACAUCACAUCUGUGACGCAGUAGUCCUUUCACAGGAUGGUACCAGGGGAUGCCGGUGCACUGUCUGCCAGUCUGCCUGACGGGAGUAACAGAUGAGAGAGGGAAAAGGGGAGGAGGAAGAAAAAGAGGGCACAGCGCGAUCAUCUGCACAGUCCAAACUAAACAUCCAGCUAAACUAAACUAAAGAGGUAUGAACUCUGUCUUGCGGCUGUCUUGGUGACAAGGAUUAAGUAUUGGGGUCAUGUGUAAAGAGCAUUUCCAUUCCACUGAAUAAAACAAGAGUGUAAAGUCCAAGUAUGUUUUUCCCAUAGCACAUAUACACUACUAUGAUACAGUUUAGGGUUGGUAAGAUUUUAUGUUUCUCACAUAAUGAAAAUAAUAUGUUGAAUUAGUGCUGGUAUUAUACAUUAUGAUAUGCUGAUUUGGUGCUUAAGAAACAUUUCUUCUUAUUAAUAUUGAAAACAGUUGUGCUGCUUAAUAUUAAGAAACUGUGAUAACUUUUAAGGAUUAUUUGAAUCGAAGGUUGAAUAAAAAUUUUAUUGAGUUAAAAUAUGAAAAUAACAAUAUUUCUGAAUGAAAAUAUUAAUGAAAGAAAUAAACAAAUAAAUCUCAAUGACCCGAAUCGUUUGAACAGUUGCAUAGAUAUUUGAUCAUUCCCAAAAUGAUGAUACACAUUAUCACUUUUUCUAGUGCGCUAUAAACCACUCUCGGGCCUUAAAUACUAAGAAUAGAGAAUGGUUUGAAAUUAGAGAUCUAGAGAGUUAGAUAUGGAGCAUCUUGUGCAGAUGCUAUAGCUCUAUCUAGCCACAGAUCUGGUCCUCUGGGAUGUGUCAUUUUCCUGCCCGUUUGACCUUUGACCCCAGUGUGUUUGGCCUGCACUGGGAUGAGAGAUUGAUAAAAACAAACAUGUAGGGAUUUCAAAAUGUAAGAAGUGCUACAUUGUUUUCAUAAAAUGAGAAACUGAAUCACUUAAGUUUUGAUCAGUCUCCCAGUAUCACUGGCAUUUCAUAUUAUGAUGUUUCACAUAAAUGCAUCAAUUAUAACUAACAGCAUUUCUGGUUGCCUCCAGUAUAGCACUGUAGUAAACACCAUUUCAAAUGAAAUGAAAUGAUCCUAAAAAGAUGAGAUGACUCAACAUUGGAACUGACCUUAGAUUAGUAUCAUAUCAUCUUAAUUUGGUUGUUUCCAUUAUGAUCAUGAGAACAAAAUCAUUUGAGAUCAGCUUACCAGACAUGGAACCCAAAAAAACUGGAAAGAAAUACCAUACAAGAAAGUAAUACUAGCAGUAUGCAAUCUAAUUCCCAUUAUUUAAACAGAAUUAGGGGUGUGUAGCAGAAGGCCCAGACUGCUCUCUUCAUUUAUCUGUAGUCUUACAGCAUAUGUUAUAAAUGCUGCAGAGAGGAAAUGUCAAAUCAACAGCCCCCCACACCUUAUCAACAGGAAGUGAAGAAAACUUUUCUGUCACACACCAUGCCUUUGAAUCGCUUCUUUCAGAGAAACACACAUACACACAAACAGCAGAAAUAUAUUCUCUGUGAAGAAGGUACAGAUGAAUGAUUUUUCCACUCUGCCGAUAAUAACUUUUUUCAACCUUUAUAACUGUCACACAAUUCUCCUGUCAUCACCAUCAAGUGCCAUCUUUAUGCAGGUUGUUCAGAAGUCAGUGAAUGAAUGAAUGAGUGAACGAUCAACCAAUGCCAACAUAAAAAUAUAUUUUAAAAUUAUGAAUGAGUUCAUCCAAGGUUCACACUAGAGUUAUGGAAGAGGGCAGAUAUGCUUGGCUUGCUUUCCGUAAUGAAACUAGACAGAAGCUCCAAGUUCCCCACUGGAAAUAACUGUGGAUAAAGAAGAGAGACUUAUUGCAUGGGAAGAAUUUCAAUAAGUAAAAUGGGGUAUUCACAUAUUUAUAUAUUCUUGAAAUUACUAGCAGCAAGAUAAUAAAUAGAGCCAACUUAAAAAACAAAUCUGAAAAAAAAAAAACACAUUAAACUAUAUAUACUGUCUGCACAUACAGAAAAUAUCACUAAGGCAGCUAUGGAAUGUACAUUAGAAACAAAACACAGUGAAACUGGAUUUAAUUCAAACAUGCAUAAUCCAGACCACUGACAUUCAGGUCUACAGACAUUAGUUUGUGCUACAAGGCAAAGAGCUCCUCCCAGAGAGGAUGUGACCCUCUGCAAACAGGAUUCGAGAUGGCAAAUCAAACAAAGAUUAGCAUGCAGAAGUAUUCAUAUCGUCUAAUAUUUCUUAUUGUCAUGGUUUUUCUACAGCAUGUCUCAAUACUUAUAAAAAGAGUUAAAAUUAUGGAGUAAAGUUAGACAUUGGAAGACAUAGGGCACCACUGAGGGAAAUAUAGUGUAAUAUUGGAUGCAAUAUCCAUAAUAAGUAAACUAGACUUGUCAGAAGUCUCAUAAAAUAAGAUUUAUGUUUGUUAAUAAGACUUUAUGAAGUCAAUAAAAUGAAAUAGACAGAGUGAUAAUGGACAUUGCAUUAAAAAAACUCAUGGAAGGGCAAUAACACCAAUCUGUUUAUAUAAGAGAGCUUAUUCAUCAUACGCUACUGUUAUUUGUGAAAUUUGGACAGCAUUCUGAUCUAGUCAUGAUUACAGAUGCACUCCUUUCUGGAAAAGAGAAUAUGCUCUUAUGAGUCAGCUAUAGUACAGUAUGUUAGGAAACCUGGUGUUGUUGUCUUUUUUUCUUCUUUUUUUCAGUUAUGAGCCUGCAGUGCUCUUAGUUCAAGAAUUUUAAUAUUCACUACAAUCUGACAAGGCUCAAAGGAUUACCCCAUCAACUGACAACUGAUGCGUUUACAAGCCACUAAACCCACAGCCAACAUUGUUAACACAAUUAACUUAAGCUUUGAAUUCAAUAAGCUGAUUUAAAAGAUAAAGUUUCUCCUGAGAUGCCAAUCACAGCUCACAACCAUUUACCAUCUAGAGUACAAAUCUAGCCACCUUCAAGUACACAGCAAAGGUAUUUCAGGAUGUGUUAUGUCCCCCAUUCUUUGCUAUGAAUCCUGUAAUUGUUGUCCUUCUUCCUAUCUGUUUUAUGGUGUACUACCAGUGUGCUGCUCUCAGCGUUCAGCUUUUGGCAU